CGAAAAUAUAAACUUUGAUGAUUUUUAAAAAUUAAUUUAAAGACCACGUGGCAAAACUAAAAAUAUAUUUGGAGUCUACGUAUUUUUCUGAGUUUUCUGAAAUUUUUUCGGAAUUUUUGGACCUCGUUUUCGGUCCCGAGGCAGAGUAAAAAUUCAAAAUUUUGUAUUUCGAAUCGAACCGGCCGAAUCGAACCGGACCGGAUCGGACCGAUCGAAUCGGACCGGUCUUCUUCUCUUUUUCUCCUCCCUCCCGCGCGCGACGACCCUCUCCCCUUCUCUCUCUCUUUUCUCUCUCCUCCCUCCUCCCCUUGCCGCGCCGCCGCCUCCCCUGCGUCCCCACCUCGCCGGCGCCCCACCUCGGCCCUUCCCCACGGCCGGCCGCCGCCUGGAACGCCGGAAAACGGCCUUGGAAGGGACGCGCAGCGCGCGCGCCGUUUCGGCUUCUCCGGCCAAAUCCGGCCACCAAUUGGACCGAGUCUUGUGUCUAAAAUCAUCUACUCGGCGAGAGCUUUCCAUAGACACCAAGAACGCCGAAAUCCAUCGAGCGGUUUGUCCGAUUUUUGCUCGGGAAGAUUUUAGCCCAUUUCGACUUUUGGGCUAGAUUUCUCGAAAAUCGUGAAUCCCACGAGAAAACCGAGGCUACCAGCACGCUCCAUUCGUCGAGAGCUUCGCAACGACAUAAAUUUCGAAUUUUUCCGACACCGUUUUUCGGUAUCCUCGAUUCGCGGAAAUUCGACAGUUGACCGGGUCUGCAAAUUUCGGGCCAGACAGACCCGUUACCGGAAAAGUCUCCGAAUUGGACCGAGGUUUUGGCUAGUCCCCCAUUGUCAGACGUCCCGAGCGCGUUCCCGAAGUCGGAAUCGGCAAAGGUGAGCCGGGACAACCUUCUUCCUCCGCCCAGCCGCCACAGUGAUUGUCGUCAAGUCUGUGAGUAAAAUAUUAAUUUUAAUUGUAAUUUUGAUAUUAUUAUAUGUUCA